GCGUUAAUCGGAUUUACUGGGCGUAAAGCGCGCGUAGGCGGCUAAUUAAGUCAGAUGUGAAAUCCCCGAGCUUAACUUGGAAUUGCAUUCGAUACUGGUUAGCUAGAGUGUGGGAGAGAUGGUAGAAUUUCAAGUGUAGCGGUGAAAUGCGUAGAGAUCUGGAAGAAUACCGAUGGCGAAGGCAGCCAUCUGGCCUAACUCUGACGCUGAGGUGCGAAAGCAUGGGGAGCAAACAGGAUUAGAUACCCUGGUAGUCCAUGCCGUAAACGAUGUCUUCUAGCCGUUGGGGCCUUUGAGGCUUUAGUGGCGCAGCUAACGCGAUAAGUAGACCGCCUGGGGAGUACGGUCGCAAGACUAAAACUCAAAUGAAUUGACGGGGGCCCGCACAAGCGGUGGAGCAUGUGGUUUAAUUUGAUGCAACGCGAAGAACCUUACCUGGCCUUGACAUAGUAAGAACUUUCCAGAGAUGGAUUGGUGCCUUUGGGAACUUACAUACAGGUGCUGCAUGGCUGUUGUCAGCUCGUGUCGUGAGAUGUUGGGUUAAGUCCCGCAACGAGCGCAACCCUUUUCCUUAUUUGCCAGCGAGUAAUGUCGGGAACUUUAAGGAUACUGCCAGUGACAAACUGGAGGAAGGCGGGGACGACGUCAAGUCAUCAUGGCCCUUACGGCCAGGGCUACACACGUGCUACAAUGGUCGGUACAAAGGGUUGCUACACAGCGAUGUGAUGCUAAUCUCAAAAAGCCGAUCGUAGUCCGGAUUGGAGUCUGCAACUCGACUCCAUGAAGUCGGAAUCGCUAGUAAUCGCGGAUCAGAAUGCCGCGGUGAAUACGUUCCCGGGCCUUGUACACACCGCCCGUCACACCAUGGGAGUUUGUUGCACCAGAAGUAGCUAGCCUAACUGCAAAGAGGGCGGUUACCACGGUGUGGCCGAUGACUG
rnacentral:rRNA from 1 species